ACUCCUACGGGAGGCAGCAGUAGGGAAUCUUCCACAAUGGGCGCAAGCCUGAUGGAGCAACACCGCGUGAGUGAAGAAGGGUUUCGGCUCGUAAAGCUCUGUUGUUAAAGAAGAACACGUAUGAGAGUAACUGUUCAUACGUUGACGGUAUUUAACCAGAAAGUCACGGCUAACUACGUGCCAGCAGCCGCGGUAAUACGUAGGUGGCAAGCGUUAUCCGGAUUUAUUGGGCGUAAAGAGAGUGCAGGCGGUUUUCUAAGUCUGAUGUGAAAGCCUUCGGCUUAACCGGAGAAGUGCAUCGGAAACUGGAUAACUUGAGUGCAGAAGAGGGUAGUGGAACUCCAUGUGUAGCGGUGGAAUGCGUAGAUAUAUGGAAGAACACCAGUGGCGAAGGCGGCUACCUGGUCUGCAACUGACGCUGAGACUCGAAAGCAUGGGUAGCAAACAGGAUUAGAUACCCUGGUAGGAUAGCG
rnacentral:rRNA from 1 species